rnacentral:rRNA from 1 species
ACGAACGCUGGCGGCAUGCCUAACACAUGCAAGUCGAACGAGACCUUCGGGUCUAGUGGCGCACGGGUGCGUAACACGUGGGAAUCUGCCCUUUGCUUCGGAAUAACAGUUAGAAAUGACUGCUAAUACCGGAUAAUGACUUCGGUCCAAAGAUUUAUCGGCAAAGGAUGAGCCCGCGUAAGAUUAGGUAGUUGGUGAGGUAAAGGCUCACCAAGCCGACGAUCUUUAGCUGGUCUGAGAGGAUGAUCAGCCACACUGGGACUGAGACACGGCCCAGACUCCUACGGGAGGCAGCAGUGGGGAAUAUUGGACAAUGGGCGAAAGCCUGAUCCAGCAAUGCCGCGUGAGUGAUGAAGGCCUUAGGGUUGUAAAGCUCUUUUACCAGGGAUGAUAAUGACAGUACCUGGAGAAUAAGCUCCGGCUAACUUCGU